GAAAGGGGAAGCCAAGCCCUUAAACCUAGUCUCAGUACGGAUCGAGGGUUGUAACUCACCCUCGUGAAGCCGGAAUCCCCAGUAAUCGCAGUUCAUUAUGCUGCGGUGAAUACGUCCCUGCUCCUUGCACACACCGCCCGUCAAGCCAUCCGAGUGGGGUCAAGGCGAGGCCUUGUCUUUUGGUGAGGUCGAACCUCGGUUCCGCAAGGAGGGCUAAGUCGUAACAAGGUAGCCGUAGGGGAACCUGCGNNNNNNNNNNCUUAG
rnacentral:rRNA from 1 species